rnacentral:rRNA from 1 species
UACAGAGGGUGCAAGCGUUAAUCGGAAUUACUGGGCGUAAAGCGUGCGCAGGCGGUGAUGUAAGACAGGUGUGAAAUCCCCGGGCUUAACCUGGGAACUGCAUUUGUGACUGCAUCGCUGGAGUGCGGCAGAGGGGGAUGGAAUUCCGCGUGUAGCAGUGAAAUGCGUAGAUAUGCGGAGGAACACCGAUGGCGAAGGCAAUCCCCUGGGCCUGCACUGGACGCUCAUGCACGAAAGCGUGGGGAGCAAACAGG